CUCUACUAGUCUGGUCUUAAGGCCAGCCUCGGGUACCCGGGAGGGACUGUCUAGCUGGAGGCGGGACGCUGCGGGCGUCCCUGCUCUUGAUCGCUUCGGGUCUCCGGCUUGCGACCCUGUGGCAGCGUCCAGAGGGCGGAUGCCCACGUCCUAGUGCUGACUAAUGGCGUGUCCCAGCCUGGGAUCUGUGUUGGAGUUGGAUGCACGCCGCCUUCCACACAGCGCCACCAGCUGGGAGGACCAGACAGGAAACUGCAGCGGAGCCAGAACAAGGGUCCCUUUUGCAUGCAAGGAGGGAGUUGACCCACCCAGCAG
ensembl:lncRNA